AACGAACGCUGGCGGCAUGCCUAACACAUGCAAGUCGAACGGCAGCACGGGAGCAAUCCUGGUGGCGAGUGGCGAACGGGUGAGUAAUAUAUCGGAACGUGCCCAGUCGUGGGGAUAACGUAGCGAAAGCUACGCUAAUACCGCAUACGAUCUAUGGAUGAAAGCGGGGGAUCGCAAGACCUCAUGCUCAUGGAGCGGCCGAUAUCUGAUUAGCUAGUUGGUGGGGUAAAGGCCUACCAAGGCAUCGAUCAGUAGCUGGUCNGAGAGGACGACCAGCCACACUGGAACUGAGACACGGUCCAGACUCCUACGGGAGGCAGCAGUGGGGAAUUUGGACAAAUGGGGGCGAACCCUGAUCCAGCAAUAGCCGCGUGUGGUGAAGAAGGUACUUCGGAGUU
rnacentral:rRNA from 1 species